CCUCUGCUUCUCUGCAGUCCUGCUUCCAAGCAGUUUCUCUGACCUCCUUGUUUUUCUCCCCCUGCCUUGCAGAUCACCCUACGUUAAAGGAAGUCGUGGAACCGUUCUGGUCUCCGUCUUCAUUUGUGUCAUGUUCAGAGUAGUUUGGGAACUCCAGCCUCGACACCUCACCCAUGAGCCUCCUCACUGCUUCCAACUCCAAGCCCAGCUUCUCAGGAGCCACCUGAGAACCACCCAUCAACCUGCCUGUCCACCCUCCAACGUUGAAACUCUCCAACCAUAGUGGAGUUUCCUGGAAGAGAAGAAACUAAGCACUUCAUCCUACGAAACCUGUUCACAGCCUGUCACCCUCAAGCCACUGUGGAGAAGGACUUAUUUCCCCCCGGUCUUGCCAAGAACCCAACCCCUAGAGACCCCCGUUUGUCCGUAAGCUCCAGUCCUGGUUCCAGUCCGACCUUUAUCCGUGUUUCUGAAACUGUUAAAACACUGUCUUUGUCCUCGUGGUUGUGUAUCUCAGAGUCUAAGAAAACCGCAAUAUGACAGUUCUUUUAUAUAUUUGUAUUCUUUUUUUUUUUAUAUUGCAAAUACUAAUAUUGAUACUGUCUUGCUUUUACUUGUUUUUCUGUUUUUUAUUGGGUGCCUUGCAACGAAAUUUCAUGCAAAUGUACAUUCUGAAUGUGCAGUUGAAUGACAACAAAAUAAGUCUAACUGAAGAACAUAAAAAGGGAAUUGCAGAGAAACAGAAAAGAGGGAAACUCAAAGCUCAAACACUUAACACAGACGGGUCAUGACAAUUAUUUUGAGGGCAAUUGGACCACAGAGGUCCUCCAGUCCAAUUGGUAAUGAUAAUUCGCCAGUCCCUUACCUAUCUGUCCAAAAGAAAAAAAGCUUAUUUCAAUGAUUUCUCACCAUUAUUUCAAAACUGUUUUUUUUUUUGUGUUCUUGUGGUUCCUGAGAGACAAAUUAACAGCAAAGCAUAUAAAGAGAAGAUUUUUGGCAGUCAAGCGGACUGUUGGGUUAAUGGUAACAGGAAUCUUAUUGAACUCUUCUCAUCUCAUUAGCUGUAAGUUAAAAUUCCCGCCUAAUUAUCCAAAAGGGGAAGCAGAGUCCUAGCAAAAGCAGGUAAGACAUUGACUACUCGUAGAUUCUUUGCAAAAUGUUAAAAAAAAAAAAAGGAAAUUUCUAUAUCCAUUCUAGAGAAGAACCACUGAAUUAGCUGGUGGAUGAAACAUGUCUAUUUUCAUUUGUGACAGCUGUAAUCAGUGACAGACUGAUAGGGCAUUUGAAUAUUAAUUAGGGAAACUUUAUAGUGUGUAAUUUAAAGCAUUAGUAGUUGGUUUUUGACAUAUAAACGUUUGAAAGCAGACAUGUUCAGCAAAAGCAACUUUAUCACUGUGGUUACUGCUGUGCAAUUUCAAUUUGAUACAUUUCUGUUUUUAAAAGGAGUAAACUGCAGAUAAACUGCACAACAAAUAUCUGAAAGGCAGUUUUGGCUGAAUACUCCUUAAAAACAUCAAAUGAAAAUUACACAACAGUAAUGGCUCUUAAUCAUGUCUUGUAACAAAGUUGUGGUGUGCUUAUCUGCAGAAAUACCAGCAUGUCAAAAAGCUGUUCCAUCUUAUUGCACAGCUGUCAGGUAUAAAAAAAAAAAGACACAUCAUUUCAAAUUCCUCUCACAUCUUUCGUUUCCUGUUGGCGUGCAAAACAUCUGUGGUACAUUCAGCCUUUCUUGGUAGAACUGAGAUUUCCAUAUGAAAUAUGCACUGCAGAAGGCUACCUCAGACUGUCCAAAGUGGGUGGAGGGUGAACAUGUUUAUCUGUACUUUAGAGCGUUUGCUUAGUUUUUGUUUAACAACUACCCAACUUGACCAUGAUGCAUAGAAGAGCUUCUGCAAAUAAUGAGGUUUUUAUUUUUACCCUCACUCCAGGAACAAGCUUUUUCAGGCAUGAUGGAUUUCUAAGUGUUUCUUCUAUAUGCAGGUACUCCAUGACACAAAAGGUAAUAUGUAUUGUUUGGUAUUAUCUGUGACAGACAAAAUAUCUACAGCAAACAUUUCCAGCAAUUUAUUGUUCUGUUAUUGCAUAGCUUUAUAUGUAACUGUGCAAUGCAUUAUGAGUAAGUGAUCAUAUUGUGUUGUAUUCUUUCACACAACCAUACUUUUUUAUAACAAGCAGUAGCUAGCCACCAUCUAUGCAUGCAUUUAAGGCAGGAAAUACAAAUCUAAAUAUGUUUCAGCUGA